GCGCGGAUGGGGUAGUGGUAACCUAGUUGCUUGCCACUUGCGUUCUGCAAUUGCCACGGGUUCGAUUCCCGUUCCGCGCA
rnacentral:tRNA from 1 species